AAGGCCACCUCGCCCCGCGAGUCGUAUGCGCGCUUUAUCGGUUUUGUCAGUCAGUUGGCUCGUCGUCCUGCUGGUCUCCGUACAGUAGCGGGAGAGACGGCGACCGAACGCAGCACGGCAGUGCCACAUUAACCAUCAACAUCCACAGAUGGAAAACGCUAUUCUAUGAUACUUGAAGUGGAUCUUCUGAAAAGUGCGUACUCUAUCUAUCCUGUGCACAGAAUCAGCACUCUACUGGUUCAAAUCCCACUACUGUCAGGAGCUCAGUAGGUGGCCUUGGGCAGCAACUCCAGAAAGCCUAUAAUCCAUUGGCGCUAGGAGAUAAGUUAUCAUCCCGCUGGCCAGUAGUAUGUGGUGUGCCGCAGGGAGCGAUACUCUCCCCUUUGCUGUUUAACAUCUAUAUGUGCCCUCUUGCCCAGUUGGUGUGGAGUUUUGAGCUUGGGUGCCACCAAUACAAUCUUUGGCUCUCGUGCAGAUGACACUCAGCUGUAUCUGCUGAUGGACUGCCAGCCUGGAACUACCCCAGAUGUCCUGGAGCAGGCUUUUGAAGCUGUGGCUGGUUGGUUGAGACAAAGUCGGCUGAAGCUAAACCCUGCGAAGACACAGAUCCUGUACUUGAGUCGCGGAAACGUGGAUUUGGGGUCCCAGCUUCCUGCACUUGAUGGGGCGGUGCUUGCACCAGCCCCAAGAGUCAAGAGCCUGGGGGUGAUCUUGGAUGCCUCAUUGACAAUGAAGGCUCAGAUCACGACGGUCACCAGAUCUAAAGCGCUGUUCUCUUGAGGUUUGCCCUAAGCCUCUUGCUCCCUUGGCCGAGAAUGCCGCCAUUUGAAGCUCUCCCUCCUUGGACCCUGUGCUCUCCAGAUAGGUAAUUAUCACCUCACAAACCAUCAAAUCUAUCCCACCUUCACCACUGCUUUUCUUAGGCCUCUUGUGUGUUUAUGCAUUUGCCCCUUGAAUAAA